UCUUAUUCAAAGUUUUUUAUCCUCCACUUUUUUGCUGGUUUUGAUGUUUUUCUAGCACUUUAAUUUAUUUUUUGGGCAUAGAUAUAGCAGGUGGAAAUCCGAUCCCCAUCCGAAGGUGGGUUUGGUGAUUUGUUCAAUAUCCCCAUUGAGGAUGGGGGCGGGGAUAGUAAAAGAUUCUCCGAUUGAGGAACGGGGGUGGAAUAGGGUCCCCUGAUCCAUUUGUCCGAAGAAUGGCAUGUUGUAAAGUUUUUGAAGUACCAUGUGUAGGAAAACACUGUGGCCAUUCUAAAGAAUUUAUUUGUAAGUUGUUUGCUUUCUUUUAGGUCUCCGUCCCUCCCUCCUUGUUGGAUGAGUACUCUUCGACCACUUAUUGUUGUUCCUUUGCUUCUUCGAGCCUAGCUUGUAAUUCAAUGCGGCUCAUUAGCUCGUUCAUGUUAGCCAAGGGAACCGGAAAGAGGACUUCGAAGUUUGGACCCUUAGAAUCACAAGGGUCCAAUGGUUGUGGUAGUAGUAGUAGGAGAAGUAGCAAAUAAUGUGUAGAAAAUUUUGAUGCAGGCUAUUUAUUCUUGAUAAUAGAUUGAUAUUUUAAGGACUUGAUUUCAAUGGUUUCUACAAACCCCAGUUCUACCUUCACCUUUUUAAGGUGAACCUAUUGUAAUUUGGGAAUUAAUUUAAUUUAGUUAGUGAAGAGUUAAAAAUCUAUAUAACAAGGAAGGGAUUCUUUUCAAUAUAAAAUUGUUGCCGUUCUUUCAAUCUCAGCCUUUCAUUCCACAUCACCCAAUGGCCUAAAUUUAUUCCUCUCACAAACUAACUUUUUAAUGGUAAUUCAGUAAAUACUCCAAAGUUAAAUGACUAAAUUGGUCAAUCCACGGCUCAACCUAGCAUAGAGCCGCAGACGUCUCAACCUCUUUGCUCUCUCUCUAAACGUCCAAAGCAGAUCUCUCUCUCUCUCUCUCUCUCUCACACACACACACAUGGGAAUUCAAAUUUCAAACAUCUGUCUCCCCCUCAAACCUCUUCUCUACAAGACGUCUCAACCCAAAUUGGAGAUUUUGGUCGGAGUGAGUAAGGUUCGUAAAUCGGGCUUCUUCUUUUAUGUGGGUUUGAUCUAGGGUUGGUUAAUGGGCUAUCCAGAGGGCUUGGAAAGAUAACUUUAUAAUACUCAGCUUCUUUUGAACAUUAACUUCUUUUGGGUUCGUUAAAUAUUUGGAUUAAUGUACGCAAUUUUUGGAUUUUGUUAUUGGGGUUCUAUUUGUUCUCCGUUUCAGAUUUACCCCAUCUCCCGCAACCCCGCUACACUGAUGUCUCCAUGCUGCAACCGCUUCAACCCAUAACUCAGAUUGGUGGCAAAUUUUAUUUCGGCUAUGAAUAAUUUUGGUGUCCAUAGUGGAAGCCUUAAAAUUUUGGCUACUCCAAUCUUUACUGUUUUUACAUUUGGUUUCACUUAAAAAGAAUAUUGUAUUCAAGUUAGGCUUUUGAUUGGAAAGCAAGGUUUUGGGUAUUUAUAUGGUGUUGACAAAUUAGUUGCUAAUGUAAGCUAUAAAAUCCCUUCCAGAUUAGGGGACUUAGAGUUCGAAUUGCCUGAGCAACGCUACAGUUUUUGCAGUUUUUUACCAUCUUCCUAAUGAGUGUACAGUAGUAUCAUGACAACCAACUGUAGAGUGGCAAAAUGAGUGACAAGAAAGACAUAACUCCGCGUACGGUAGAUUGGCUUAUAUUUGUUUUAUUUUCUUUAUAGCACGUAAAAGAAUCUGAACUUCUUUAUGGAUUAGUGGCUCAGUCCUUUUGUAGUAAGAGCUGACCAGGUAUGCCAAUAGAUUUAGCACUGCCGUUUUGAACAUAGUCAUCCUCCAUCACUCAUGUUUGUACCACCAGUUUGUGCAGAGUCCCCAUCAACAUAUAAGAUGCUGGUGAUAUGAUCUGGAGUUGUCUCACAUCGUCAAUAUGAACAGAACGCAAAAUUGUUAAAGCUUCAUUUUCAUUUAGUGAUUUUUCGCACCAUUGUUGCCCUUUUACGUAGGGGUGAUACCGGUCCGGUUUCGACCGUUUUUGGCCUAUUUCUGGGACCGGACCGGAAAUUUGGUUUGAAAAGAAGUGAUCUGGUUUCAACCGGUUCAAUCGGCUUCGGUCCGGUUUAUCCAGUUUCCUUGGAUCGGACCAAUUUCGGGCUAGCCAACAAAAAAAAACCCAAUGAUUGUAGAUCGAGACCGAGAGAGAGAACCGUGAUAGAAAUCAGAGAGGAGAGAACAUUCUUCAACAAAUUACAAUAAUUACAGCAACAUUAACAAGAGUUCAAAACCCAACAGACAACAAGUCUUCAAGCUUCAACAAUUCCAAGGAUCCAACAAAGCAACACUACCAAUUUAGGGCAGAACUGGCGUAGAUCGAGAGAGAGAGAGUACUUGCUACUUGCUUGUCGUGGUGGUCCACGGAGUCAGCGAGGCUGCGAGAGUGUCACAUAGAGCUGAGAGAGAGAGAGAGAGAGAGAGAGAGAGAGUCACAGUAGGGCAAAAUUGCCAUCGCUGGAGAUGAGCUGUGAAGUCUGCGUGUGAGAGGAAGAAAAGAAAUGAGAUAAGAUUUGGAUAGGGUUUGUAUUUAUAUACGGUAUUAAGUUAUAUAUGUAAUGAGUAUAUUUAUUCUACAUUGUAUAUAUGUUUGGCCGAGUGGUAAAGGUGAGGCUGUGAAAGGCUUAGGUCUAGAAUUCGAGCUCUACUCCUUGCGAUUUUUGCAUAUCUGCAUAAAACUGGUCGGGUCCGGUUCUUCAGUCCUAAAAUCGAAAACCGGACCGAAAUAAAUUUUUAAGAUUAUUUAAAACCGGACUGGCCCGGGAAAAAGCGUAACAUCUACUAUUGCCAUUUUUCGCAAUAUGUACUGGUUUGGACAUCCUUUCUUUUUGUGGGAGUUAAAAUGGGAAUAAGAAAGGCUUUGAGUCGGGUGAGUAAGUCCAGAUUGUUUUGGAUCCUUUUGUACAGAUCAACUUCUUGGUAGUUUCAGUCAAUCAUAUGGUCUUACACACUUUAGGAAAUUAUAUUUGGCGCAAAUGGUUGUAUGAAGAAUGCUGCAAUUGCAGAAAAUUAAUGUAUCAUAUUCGUAGCACAGCUAAAAUGUCUGGUUUCUAUCAGUCUAACUCCUUAAUUAUUGGCAUUUGAUUCGGGCAUUGUUUGAUUGAAGGUUGCAUUUCAUGCUUUCGGUAACAAGUUUACAUAGAGGAUGGAGGUCGAAGGACCUUAGCUUUCUCUUCGCAUUCUAAUUAAGUCACGAAUAUACUAAGGGCCAUUGAUGGUGUAUCUGGAUGCCUCUACAAGCUUGGUAAGCGUAUUCGAAUUGAAGACACUAGGAAUGAUGAAUGGUUUAAAAGGGGUUAUGUUCCUGCCAAACUUAUUGAAUAUGAAGAUGGUAACCUGGAUGAUGUUGAUGCUGUUUUUGAUGAUCCUGACUUCCUGAGGAAGACCGGGUCGAUGAGCAGUACGCAAAUGCAGAUUUGGGUCCUCUGACUCUUGAUGCAUUCGACCUAUUUAUCCUUUCUCAAGGCUUAAAUCUUUCAUCGCUGUUUGACCUUCGGCAGGCACCUAUUAUCACAAUGUAGAACAUGUGACGACAGAACUGCUGUUGUUCGAAGACUAUGAAGUCAAUGAUAAAUAAGAACAUACGCAUGACUUUUUCCCUUUUCACGAGUAACUGAAUGAAAAAUGCAUCUAUUGUUGACAUGGCUCUUUUUUUGUUGAAUGGGGGGAGAUAUAAUAAUCUUUUGGUUUCUAAAUAUCUUGUGUUUUUGGAUUGUACAGAUUUCGACUACAUGAAAUGCUUCUUGAUUUAUGUUGAUUGCAUCGUUGGGAGCAUAUAUUAGUUUUUAUAUGUGUGCAAGCACCUAUUAUCACAAUGUAGAACAUGUGACGACAGAACUACUUUUGUUCGAAGACUAUGAAGUCAAUGAUAAAUAAGAAGGAAUGCAUGACUUUUUCCCUUUUCACAAGUAACUGAAUGAAAACUGCAUCUAUUGUUGACAUGGCUCUUUUUUUUUUUGUUGAAUGGGGGGAGAUAUAAUAAUCUUUUGGCUUCUAAACAUCUUGUGUUUUUGGAUUGCACAGAUUUCGACUACAUGAAAUACUUCUU